AGGACGAACGCUGGCGGCGUGCCUAACACAUGCAAGUCGAACGAGGCUUAUCCGGUAGCAAUACCGGAGACUGCCUAGUGGCGAACGGGUGAGUAGCACGUGAGCAACCUGCCCCGAAGACUGGGAUAACACCGGGAAACCGGUGCUAAUACCAGAUGCCCCCGCCGGAUCGCAUGAUCUGGUGAGGAAAGGAUUCCGCUUCGGGAGGGGCUCGCGGCCUAUCAGCUAGUUGGUGAGGUAACGGCUCACCAAGGCUUCGACGGGUAGC
rnacentral:rRNA from 1 species